rnacentral:tRNA from 1 species
AUCUAGGUAGCACAGAGGCUAGAGCAUCAGACCUAGAAUCUGAAGGACCUGGAUUCAAAUCCGGCCUCAGAUA